rnacentral:lncRNA from 1 species
GCCCUUCCAUAUAGUAUAUUCCUCACUUUAGUAUUUAAAGCAUUUGGAAUCAACUUAGAUGGGGAACCAUCAAGAAGACUGCAACAUUUUGAUACUUAUAAUAACAAAUCAUUAUUGAGAAUGGGUUACCUCAAGGCUAAUGGUCAGUGGAUCAGAAAGGUAGGAGAAAUAGAAGAAGCUGAAAGAGAAAGAGAUAGAGAAAGAAGUGAGCCAAUGAAACAAGAGGAACAUGGCACUUUUAUGGCUCAGCCUGCUUAGAUUGCAAACUCUACUAAGACC